rnacentral:rRNA from 1 species
GACGAACGCUGGCGGCGUGCUUAACACAUGCAAGUCGAACGGAAAGGCCCUGCUUGCAGGGUGCUCGAGUGGCGAACGGGUGAGUAACACGUGGGUGAUCUGCCCCUUAUUUUGGGAUAAGCCUGGGAAACUGGGUCUAAUACUGGAUAGGACCAUGCUGUAGGUGGUGUGGUGGAAAGAUUAGUUUCGGUAAGGGAUGAGCUCGCGGCCUAUCAGCUUGUUGGUGGGGUAAUGGCCUACCAAGGCGUCGACGGGUAGCCGGCCUGAGAGGGUGGACGGCCACAUUGGGACUGAGAGACGGCCCAGACUCCUACGGGAGGCAGCAGUGGGGAAUAGGGCACAAUGGGCGCAAGCCUGAUGCAGCGACGCCGCGUGGGGGAUGACGGCCUUCGGGUUGUAAACUCCUUUCAGCCAUGACGAAGCCCUUGUGGUGACGGUAGUGGUAGAAGAAGCACCGGCUAACUACGUG